GUGCCAGCCGCCGCGGUAAUACAGAGGGUGCAAGCGUUAAUCGGAAUUACUGGGCGUAAAGGGCGCGUAGGUGGUUAUUUAAGUCAGAUGUGAAAUCCCUGGGCUUAACCUAGGAAUUGCAUUUGAAACUAGAUGGCUAGAGUAUGGUAGAGGGAAGUGGAAUUUCCGGUGUAGCGGUGAAAUGCGUAGAUAUCGGAAGGAACACCAGUGGCGAAGGCGACUUCCUGGACCAUUACUGACACUGAGGCGCGAAAGCGUGGGGAGCGAACAGGAUUAGAUACCCCAGUAGUCC
rnacentral:rRNA from 1 species